CCCUCACAAUGUAGCUGAUAACCAGUGAAAUAGUCCUCAACCAACGACCCAUAUCGAAAUCCGAUCUUGUAGCCCCAGCUAGUUUUGUUCUCAUAAUUGCAUCCUGCCACACGAUAAGCCAAUGCCAAGACUUCUGGGGACUGUAUGGACUUAUCUAUCACAUGAAGUGGGCUCAACUCAGGGAUUUCUGGUGAAACAAAACUAGAAGGGCCACCAAAGAAUGCUCUCCUGGAGAAGAAGCAAUUGGUCCCAGCAU
rnacentral:misc_RNA from 1 species